GGGGUGAGUGGUGGCGGGGGGGGCGUUCCGCGGCCGGCCCCCCCGCCCUCGCCGCCGCCACCGGCCGCCUCAUGGCCACCCUGGCCGGGGUCUUCGUGUGGGACGGGCAGCGCAUCGAGGAGGAGGAGCUGCAGCGCUUCAGCCCAGGAGAUGCCAUGCGCAUGCAAGAACGCGGGCCGUCCCACUGCAGGGCGGCGCUUUGGCUGAGGACCCCCACGUGGAGUCCCACCGCAGAGCGGGACGCCGCGUCCCCCCCCCCACGGCGAGCAGCCCUGGGAGAUGGUGAAUGGAUAAGAAAGCACUUCAAGCUGUGGCGGGCGGCCCCAUCGAGGGACACCCAUCUUACCCAUACCGAGUGUUUGGGACGUACACGGAUGUGACCCCCCGGCAGUGCUUCAAUGUGGCAGCUGGACACCGAAUACAGGAAGAAUAUGGGACUCGUUGGUCAUCAAACUGGACGUCAUAGAGGAGGGAGUGCGGCCACCAGGAUCCGAGGUGAUCCAUUGGGUCACGCACUUCCCGUACCCCAUGGUACUCCCGGGACUACGUGUACGUACGGCGGUACCGCGUGGACAAGGAGAGCAACCUGAUGGUGUUGGUGUCCCGGUGGGUGUGGGUUGGGGUCCCAAUUGGGGUGGGUGUGGGUUGGGGUGUGGGUUGGGGUCC
rnacentral:lncRNA from 7 species